rnacentral:tRNA from 1 species
AGUUGGCUCAGUGGUUAAGAGCACUGACUGCUCUUCCAGAGGUCCUGAGUUCAAUUCCCAGCAACCA